UGGAAAGCUCUCACAAAAGGAGAGGUGAAAAUUGCAUAGAGAACUCAAAGAGCCUUUGCGACUUAUUCCAAACAUAAAGAAACCAAAAAAAGGAUGAUGGUGGAGAUCUGAUGCCGAAAUGCAUGUGGAGAUCCAACAAUGAGACGUAACUGCCUGUGAUGGUUGGAUGAAAAUCAUAACAAAAUGAAGACAAAUAGAGGAAACCUUUUGUCUCUGCAAAUGAAGGAAGAGGAUAAAGGAGGAAGAGAAUAGAGGGGAGAGGGGAGGGGAGGAAGAACAGUGGCUUCCUCCCGCUCAAAGUGAAAAUGGAUGUAAGAUUAUUUUUUAGGGGAGAGAGGGCUAAAGUUUCUCUGGAGGUUUGCGCUCUCGUUGAUUGUUUGUUGAUAGAUGAUACUUAACCUGCAAAACUUCACUAAUACUAUAAUUAUUACUAGUUCUUUGGCACACACUCCGAUUGAAUUUUUUUUACUUGUGAUAUAUAACUUUUUUUUUAUUAUUCAACAGGUUUAAAGGUAUUUUUUUUUUAAUUUUUUUUUAUUUAUGGACAACUGUAGUAUUGCUCCUAAUAUUAAUUUGCUACUUUCAACUUAUCAAAAGUAGAUAUUAAUCAGU
rnacentral:lncRNA from 1 species